rnacentral:sRNA from 1 species
AUUAUUGAUUGUGAGCGUGGCCUCCAGUGCUGGAUCUCUAAGUGCAGGGUUGCUGACUUUCAUCCAACACCCUGUGAACCUUUGGCCUCUUGCUAGCUUCAGCUGGCAGAGGAUUUUUACCCACACACGAAUGUAAUGAAAUUAUUGUCGUGCGCAAGCACUUAUGUACAACUUUCAACAACGGAUCUCUUGGCUCUCGCAUCGAGGAAGAACGCAACAAAAUGCGAAAAGUAAUGUGAAUUGCAAAAUUCAGUGAAUCAUCGAAUCUUUGAACGCACCUUGCACCCUUUGGCAUUCCGAAUGGUAUGCUCGUUUGAGUGUCAUUGGACUCUCAAACUUCUGAUCCUUUGGAUUUGGAGCGGUGGACUUGGGUGUUGCCACUUGACGGUGGCUCACCUCUAAUGCAUUACUGCAACUCCUGGUUGGACCAUAGUACGGGGUGGUACGUGUCUUCGCCGGCACCUCGUGAGAGGGUGGCCGAUCGAGAGCUCUGUGCUUUCAAACCGUCCUUGCAAGGACAAUGACUGACAACUUGACCUCAAAUCGAGUAGGACUACCCGCUGAACUUAAGCAUAUCAAUAGCCGGAGGAAC